GUCCCAAAUCAGAACCAGUCCCGUAUCUCAGCCCCAUUUGUCAGGUGUCCCAAAUCAGAACCAGUCCCGUAUCUCAGCCCCAUUUGUCAGGUGUCCCAAAUCAGAACCAGUCCCGUAUCUCAGCCCCAUUUGUCAGGUGUCCCAAAUCAGAACCAGUCCCGUAUCUCAGCCCCAUUUGUCAGGUGUCCCAAAUCAGAACCAGUCCCGUAUCUCAGCCCCAUUUGUCAGGUGUCCCAAAUCAGAACCAGUCCCGUAUCUCAGCCCCAUUUGUCAGGUGUCCCAAAUCAGAACCAGUCCCGUAUCUCAGCCCCAUUUGUCAGGUGUCCCAAAUCAGAACCAGUCCCGUAUCUCAUCCCCAUUUGUCAG